GUCGGAGCCACAGGGCAUCAACCAGAACAGGGAAUGCUGUUGAGUCUGACCGAGAGCGUUUUGUCACCUUUCUUAUUAGGUAUUCAAGAGCUUCCAGCUCCUAUUCAGACUUUGUAAAACGUCACCAGUGUCUGAGCAGAAAAUUGAUGAACCAGGGAUAUGUCAAAGAACGUCUCGUCCUUUUUCUAAAAAAGUUCAUCGGAAGAUACCCAGAACUUGUUGAUAAAUAUUCCGUAUCAACUUCACAAAUAAUACAAGAUGGUCUUGAAGUAUAGAUUUUGCGUACUGACGUUUGUUAUCAUCUUAAUUACGUAUUAUAGUAUUCUUUUAUAUGUCUUUUUUAGAUAUUCAUUUGAAGUGACCCUGUGGUUAUGUAAAACCACAUACUUUGAACGGCAAAAUUAUUUCAUUUAUUGAUAUUACUUUUACUUAAGGAUCUUGACAUACUAUGAAUGACAAAACUAUUUUAUUCAAUAAGACUACUUUUUCUGUUUAGUCUGUUUUUAUGAUAUACAUUUGACGUGAAACUGUACUUAUGUAUCCCGUCAUACUUUGAACCACACCAUUGUUUUAUUUAUUAUUAUUACUUUUACUGUUAAAUCUGGUUUUUGUUAUAUCUACUUUACGUGAGUCUGCAUUUAUGUAUGCCGUCAUACGACAAAAUUAUUUUUAUGUCUACCUGUGCGAAUUUCAAACGCGCAAUUUUACACCAGUAAUGAAAACCUUCUAUCAUUUAUGGGUAGACUUUACAUAGAUAAAUUCAGCCGUAUUUGACGUGAAACUGUACUUAUGUAUCCCGUCAUACUUUGAACCACACAUUAUUAUUUAUUUAUUAUUUUUACUGUAAGUCUGUUUUUUGUUAUAUCUACUUUACGUGAGUCUGCAUUUAUGUAUGCCGUCAUACGACAAAAUUAUUUUUAUGUCUACCUGUGCGAAUUUCAAACGCGCAAUUUUACACCAGUAAUGAAAACCUUCUUUCAUUUAUGGGUAGACUUUACAUAGAUAAAUUCAGCCGUAUAGGAAAAGCAAAUUGAGAAUGUUGAAUUUGAUGUAUGCCUUUUUGUGCUACUUUGUUACAUUUGUUGUUUAUGUAGUGAUAUUAAGAUGAUAACACAAUAUUGACUGUUGUACCCCUAUUUUUGACAUUUUUACUCUUUGAGUAUGUUUGUUUUGUUCAUGCAUCGUUGACAAUGUAAUGGAAUUUGAUGCGACUGUCAUACAAGUGAGAGGUUUAGCUAGCUAUAAAACCAGGUUCAAUCCACCAUUUUCUACAUUAGAAAAAUGCCUGUACCAAUCAGGAAUAUGACAGUUGUUAUCCAUUCGUUUGAUGUGCUUGGACUUUUGAUUUUGCCUUUUGAUUUUUGAUUUUCCUUUUUGAAUUUUCCUCGGAGUUCAGUAUUUUUGUGUUUUUACUUUUUUCUUAUCAGCAAUGAUUGUGACAAGACCAAGUAUGACAUAUAUGGAUGGACAGCUCUUAUGUAUGCCGAAAAAAAUGGCCAUGACACCAUCAUCGACAUAUUAGAGAAAAAAGAACAGGAAAUGAGAAAUGACGGUAAAUAUUUUAAGUUGAAUGAAUUUUUUAAUAUUUUUAAAGGAAAAUGUUUUGAAAAACACUUUGAUUUAAUGUUUUGCUUGCUUGAAUUUUCCAAUUUGGUUUUCAUACUUUCUCUUGUUUUAAAUCUUUAUUCAUUUUGAUAAUAAAAGAAACGCGCUUUGUACAACUCCAAGUGUUGUUUGGAAAAACUAAGUAUUGUUUUAUCUUUAUAAAUUUAGAUGGCAUCACAAAUGCAUUAGCUGGUUCACUUUUGUAAUGAAAUAAUUAGUUUAGAGUUAAAAGGAUAUAUUUCUAACUACAAUCAUGUUUAAAAUUUUGGAAAUUGAAAGACUUUAAUUCAUAAGAACAUAUUUUGCUCAUAAAUUAAUUAAACUUAAAGGUUACGCCGUAUAAACAGUUUUUCUAGGGAACUAAUGACUCAAUCUCAAAUUAAAGUAAAAAGAUACAAAUAUUAUAAUCGUUUGGGUUUUUUUUCAGAUUCAACCGAUAACAAAGCUGGCAACAAUAGUGAAUAAGUGACCAACUGUGAAGUACACAAAUAACUGGAAUACUGCAAUAUAUAAUAUUUUCUCAGCAGAAAUACAUUUUUAAA
rnacentral:lncRNA from 1 species